CGUCUCAGUUCGGAUUGUAGUCUGCAACUCGACUACAUGAAGCUGGAAUCGCUAGUAAUCGCGAAUCAGAAUGUCGCGGUGAAUACGUUCCCGGGUCUUGUACACACCGCCCGUCACACCAUGGGAGUCGGAAAUGCCCGAAGCCGGUGACCCAACCAAAAGGAGGGAGCCGUCGAAGGCAGGUCUGAUAACUGGGGUGAAGUCGUAACAAGGUACC
rnacentral:rRNA from 1 species